GAUGAACGCUGGCGGCGUGCCUAAUACAUGCAAGUCGAGCGAACAGACGAGGAGCUUGCUCCUCUGACGUUAGCGGCGGACGGGUGAGUAACACGUGGAUAACCUACCUAUAAGACUGGGAUAACUUCGGGAAACCGGAGCUAAUACCGGAUAAUAUAUUGAACCGCAUGGUUCAAUAGUGAAAGACGGUUUUGCUGUCACUUAUAGAUGGAUCCGCGCCGCAUUAGCUAGUUGGUAAGGUAACGGCUUACCAAGGCGACGAUGCCUAGCCGACCUGAGAGGGGGGACGGCCACACGGGAACUGAGACACGGUCCAGACUCCUACGGGAGGCAGCAGUAGGGAAUCUUCCGCAAUGGGCGAAAGCCUGACGGAGCAACGCCGCGUGAGUGAUGAAGGUCUUCGGAUCGUAAAACUCUGUUAUUAGGGAAGAACAAAUGUGUAAGUAACUAUGCACGUCUUGACGGUACCUAAUCAGAAAGCCACGGCUAACUACGUGCCAGCCGCCGCGGUAA
rnacentral:rRNA from 1 species